GCGAGGACCAUCUCGCAAGGCUAAAUACUAACCAGUGACCGAUAGUGAACCAGUACCGUGAGGGAAAGGUGAAAAGAACCCCGGGAGGGGAGUGAAAGAGAACCUGAAACCGUGUGCCUACAAGUAGUCAGAGCCCGUUAACGGGUAAUGGCGUGCCUUUUGUAGAAUGAACCGGCGAGUUGCGUUAGUCAGCAAGGUUAAGUCAGAAAAGACGGAGCCGUAGCGAAAGCGAGUCUGAAGAGGGCGAGCAGUUGGCUGACGCAGACCCGAAACCAAGUGACCUACCCAUGACCAGGUUGAAGGCGCGGUAAAACGCGCUGGAGGACCGAACCCACGUAAGUUGAAAAUUGCGGGGAUGAGUUGUGGGUAGCGGUGAAAUUCCAAACGAACUUGGAGAUAGCUGGUUCUCUCCGAAAUAGCUUUAGGGCUAGCCUCGCAAAGAGGAUGCUGGAGGUAGAGCUCUGUUUGGACUAGGGGCCCGUCAAGGGUUACUGAAUUCAGAUAAACUGCGAAUUCCAGACAUUUAUGUGCGGGAGUCAGACUGCGAGUGAUAAGAUCCGUAGUCGAAAGGGAAACAGCCCAGAUCACCAGUUAAGGUCCCAAAAUUCAUGCUAAGUGGAAAAGGAUGUGGAGUUGCGCAGACAACUAGGACGUUGGCUCAGAAGCAGCCAUCAUUCAAAGAGUGCGUAAUAGCUCACUAGUCGAGUGACGCCGCGCCGAAAAUUUACCGGGGCUAAGCAUGAUACCGAAACUGUGGAUGUGCAUUUAUGCACGUGGUAGGAGAGCGUUCUAGCGGCGGUGAAGCAUGACCGAGAGGACAUGUGGAGCUUCUAGAAGUGAGAAUGCCGGUAUGAGUAACGAAAGACAGGUGAGAAUCCUGUCCGCCGCAAGACUAAGGUUUCCUGGGGCAGGCUCGUCCGCCCAGGGUAAGUCGGGACCUAAGGCGAGGCCGAGAGGCGUAGUCGAUGGACAACAGGUUGAAAUUCCUGUACUGCACCGAAUCGUUAUGAGCGAUGGAGGGACGCAGGAGGCUAGCAGCGCGUGGUGCUGGAUACCACGUUCAAGCGUCAAGUCUGAGAGUGAGUCAAAUGCUUGCUCU
rnacentral:rRNA from 1 species